GACGAACGCUGGCGGCGUGCUUAACACAUGCAAGUCGAACGGUGAAGCGCCUUCCUUUUUGGUGGGUGUGGAUGAGUGGCGAACGGGUGAGUAACACGUGAGUAACCUGCCCCCUUCUUCUGGAUAACCGCAUGAAAGUGUGGCUAAUACGGGAUAUUCUGGGUCUGUCGCAUGAUGGGUCUGGGAAAGAUAUUGUUUCGGUGGGGGAUGGGCUCGCGGCCUAUCAGCUUGUUGGUGAGGUGAUGGCCUACCAAGGCGGUGACGGGUAGCCGGCCUGAGAGGGUGGACGGUCACACUGGGACUGAGACACGGCCCAGACUCCUACGGGAGGCAGCAGUGGGGAAUAUUGCACAAUGGGCGCAAGCCUGAUGCAGCGACGCCGCGUGAGGGAUGGAGGCCUUCGGGUUGUGAACCUCUUUCGCCAGUGAAGCAGGCCUGCCUCGUUUGUGGGUGGGUUGACGGUAGCUGGAUAAGAAGCGCCGGCUAACUACGUG
rnacentral:rRNA from 1 species